rnacentral:misc_RNA from 1 species
AAGUCGUAACAAGGUUUCUGUAGGUGAACCUGCAGAAGGAUCAUUCUUGUAAACUAGAGAGGUUCUCUUUCCUUCGGGAUCGAGUUCUAAUCAAACACUAUGUGAACUUAUUAGUGACCCAGUAGUGCUGAUGCUUCUUUGGGAGUGUUGGCCGAAGCGGGCGCUAGGGGCUUAUCAACUUUUUACAUUAUUGCCUAAAACAUUCAGUGAAUUAAUAUAACCUUUAACAAUGGAUCUCUUGGCUCCU